GCAGAUCCGUGGAGCCGCCGCCGCCACAGUCAGCAUUGCGGAGCCGCCGACGCCCCCUAUUCCCUCCAUGGCCACAGAUCCAAUGGCGUCAGCUUCCCGGCGUUGCAGCGCUCGUCCUCCACUCCAAUGGCGACCUCCUGCCUCCUGGUUUUCUUCUGCGGUUCUGCCUCGCCGCCACCGUCGCGGCGGCGGCCCGCCGGAGAAGACGCCCUCCGCUUGCCCCACAGCGCAGACCGAGCGGCUCAUCCGAGUGGCUCAUCCCCAGGGAGGCAGGGCCGGUCUGGUCCCGCGAUGGCCCCCCACCGUGGCGCUUGGGGAGCUCCAGGAGCGGCGGGUGAGUAUGCCCGACGCGCUAGAUGAGGGCCACGACCUCGGCCACCACGCAGGUUACUUCCCCCUGCCACACACACGAACGACGCCAGGUGCUGCUGCAGGGUGUUCUACUUCUUCAAAUCGAGGGGCAAGAAGGAGGACCCAGUAUCUCAACCUACUGGAACUGGCUUUAGCUACAUCUCUGAUGAUCGCGAUACUUGUCAUGAUGAGACUGGUGUCAGCAAUGACCUACAGGACUUUCUCCAGGAGAAAGGAGUGCAGCCACUUCACUUGCUGACAAAAUGAUCGAGUCUCUGAAUCUCCAGUCUGUUCGGGUUAAUCUUCCUCCAGUUUUGCCUUAGAAGAUUUUUGCAGCAGCAUCGUUGGACUCUUAUUGUUACAUACUACAUGAUGUAGAUACAAUUUUUACGUUGAUCGGUAAGCUAAGCUCAUCAUGGACCAAUAGCUUGUUGAGAGGCAGCUAGAUGUGAUCAAGGUAUGUAGAAUGCUUUUCAGUGAUUAUGUCAUGUGGACGUUGUUGACUAGUCACAUGUGCAUUCUGCUAUAUGUUGUCACGGCACCAUGACCAACUCAUUAUCCAUGUGAUUAUUUAGGCCUUGAUUGUUCUACUCUUUUUAGCUUAAUGGCAACCAGUGGAUAAUGGGUAGAUGUUUGAUUGUUUACUACAACUAUCUAAGCUAAAAAAAAUUCACUACAACUAAGCUAAAGAUUUUCUCAAAGAAGUUGUAUGGAUUGCUGGUUAUCGCAUUUAUUAUUACUGACUAAUUAAAGAUAUUGCUGGUUGUUUUCUAGGGAUUACGCUUCUUGUUUCUUAUUAAUCAUGUUAAGAAAUCCAUAUAGCGAAAUUAGACAGCUUUAUGUUUUGUUUAAGAUUGAUAAUCCCCAUCCAGCAAGCGCCCAGCUGAUUCAUUUAGAUUAGGAGCUGAUUCCCCUCUGGAUCAUGAUUUUUUCCUCACUGUACAUCUAUUCCUUUCAGCAAUUUUCCAUUUAUCUGUUUAGCUAUGAGGAAUUGGACUUCUUAUAGUAGCCAUAUCAUCUGAGUUUCGAUUCUACCUCGAUGCUUUUUCAUUCAGAUUUCAAGGUCUUUAGUAACAUUGCUCUAUUGUUAAUACAUCAUAUUGUAGUAAAUCGUUUACAGAAAAUGUUAUUGAAAUUAAAUGGCAUACAAGGAAUAUGAUAGGAUGCUGUGAUUUCCACUACUUGAAUACUGGAUUAGGAGCAUCAGUUUAUGAUCUGUAAGAAUGACAUAGGAAUUCCAACAAUGAUUGCAUGAAGCAUUAUAUGUGUUGCAACCCGAACCACACCAAGGAUUAUCUAGCAACCCGACACCCUUCCGAUCCUACUGAUUUUCCCAAAGGGGAUGCCGAUGUCUAGAUUAGCAAAUUCACAAGCCUUGUGACAAUCGACUUUUAGUUCGGUUCAUCAUUCUCCGGGGUUCUUCAGGAUUCUACACCUAUGGAAUCUAUGAGCAUUAGGAAGGGGCAUGAUUUUGGCUUGGGUUAGACGAGGGUGCCUUUCAAGCUCUGGAAAGACAAAUUGGCCUAGCUAUCUGAACUUUUUCAUGUUCAUUGAAUAUCUGAUUGUUUGCUGUCCAUUGAAGCCAUCUAUGAUUUGGUGCAAUUUCAGGUUUCAUUACAUGGUAUUGGCUGACGACAGGCAGAGAAUUAUGCCAAUGCCCAAAGACCGAAUGCCUCCCCGAGGUCAGCCAUUAGCAUACCCUGAGGCUGUGCUCCUUAUGGACCCAGUCAAUCCUGAUCUGAGAGGGGAGGUAAGCUAACCUGACAGAGAUAAAGAUUAACAAGAGCAGUUGAGGAUAGUAUCAUCGUGCAGUUUUUCAAAAACAAGCUCCCAACAAGCACGAGUCUGGAAAGAUCCUUUUAAUGGUUAGCAUUAUUCAAUGGAAAUGUAAUUCAGUGAUGCGUCUUGUAGCAGCACUGCAGCAGGAGUUUCAGAUGUAGGUGAGGUCGUGCCAAGCUUUGUUUCUCCGUUAUUUGUUUAUUGAGACAAUUGGUGGAUGCAUGGUUACAACAGAAUGCUUGGAGGGCUGAGUCAUGCCACAAACAAGAGCAUCUUCCAAGCAAACUGGGUGGAUCAUGAGCUCAUCUUCACAAGCUGAUUCUACACAAGAUCCUUCACUAACUGAGCUCCUUCCUUUUGGUUGUGUUCCUAUGUAGCUAUUUUUUUUAUGGAGUGAGUUUAUGACUUCUCUUGUUUGUGAAUAUUGAAAAGGAUGUACUCCCUCCAUCCCAAAAUACAAGUCACCUUAGAAAUUUUAGGACAAAUUAUCCGGAAGGGAAAAUGACUAUGUUUGCCCCUAUUUAUUAUCCAUAUUUGGCACUAAUUGAUUCUUA